GCCCAUACCAUGCUGAAUUUACCGGUUCUCGUUAGAUCACCGAAGUUAAGCAUCAUUGGGCGCGGUCAGUACUUGGGUGGGUGACCACCUGGGAACACCGCGUGCCGUU
rnacentral:rRNA from 1 species